rnacentral:misc_RNA from 1 species
GAUGAAGAACGUAGCGAAAUGCGAUAAGUAAUGUGAAUUGCAGAAUUCAGUGAAUCAUCGAAUCUUUGAACGCACAUUGCGCCCGCUAGUAUUCUGGCGGGCAUGCCUGUCCGAGCGUCAUUUCAACCCUCAAGCCCCGCUUGGUGUUGGGCCCCGCCCGCCGUGGCCGGCCCUAAAGACAGUGGCGGCGCCGCCUGGCCCUCAGCGUAGUACAGCUCUCGCUCCAGGGUCCGGCGGCCGCCUGCCAGAACCCCCCCAACUCUGUGGUUGACCUCGGAUCAGGUAGGGAUACCCGCUGAACUUAAGCAUAUCAAUAAGCGGAGGA